rnacentral:rRNA from 1 species
AUUGAACGCUGGCGGCAUGCCUUACACAUGCAAGUCGAACGGCAGCGCGGACUUCGGUCUGGCGGCGAGUGGCGAACGGGUGAGUAAUGCAUCGGAACGUACCCGGAAGUGGGGGAUAACGUAGCGAAAGUUACGCUAAUACCGCAUAUUCUGUGCGCAGGAAAGAGGGGGAUCUUCGGACCUCUUGCUUUCGGAGCGGCCGAUGUCAGAUUAGCUAGUUGGUGGGGUAAAGGCCUACCAAGGCGACGAUCUGUAGCGGGUCUGAGAGGAUGAUCCGCCACACUGGGACUGAGACACGGCCCAGACUCCUACGGGAGGCAGCAGUGGGGAAUUUUGGACAAUGGGCGCAAGCCUGAUCCAGCCAUGCCGCGUGUGUGAAGAAGGUCUUCGGAUUGUAAAGCACUUUAAGUCGGGAGGAAGGGCUGUAGGCUAAUACCUUGCAGUUUUGACGUUACCGACAGAAUAAGCACCGGCUAACUUCGUGCCAGCAGCCGCCGUAACAC